rnacentral:rRNA from 1 species
AGGGAAUCUUCCGCAAUGGACGCAAGUCUGACGGAGCAACGCCGCGUGAGUGAAGAAGGUCUUCGGAUCGUAAAGCUCUGUUGUUAGAGAAGAACAGCGCAUAGAGUAACUGCUAUGCGUGUGACGGUAUCUAACCAGAAAGCCACGGCUAACUACGUGCCAGCAGCCGCGGUAAUACGUAGGUGGCGAGCGUUGUCCGGAUUUAUUGGGCGUAAAGGGAGUGUAGGCGGUCUUUUAAGUCUGAUGUGAAAGCCCACGGCUCAACCGUGGAGGGUCAUUGGAAACUGGGAGACUUGAGUGCAGAAGAGGAGAGCGGAAUUCCAUGUGUAGCGGUGAAAUGCGUAGAUAUAUGGAGGAACACCAGUGGCGAAGGCGGCUCUCUGGUCUGUAACUGACGCUGAGGCUCGAAAGCGUGGGGAGCAAACAGGAUUAGAUACCCUGGUAGUCCACGCCGUAAACGAUGAGUGCUAAGUGUUGGAGGGGUUCCACCCUUCAGUGCUGGAGUUAACGCAAUAAGCACUCCGCCUGGGGAGUACGGCCGCAAGGCUG